GGGAGGUUAGCUCAGCGGUUAGAGCACCUGCCUUACAAGCAGGGGGUCGAAGGUUCGAAUCCCUCACCUCCCACCA
rnacentral:tRNA from 1 species